GGGACCUGGAGGCCAGAAGCCACACCUUAGUCCCCACGGUGGAGAGUCACGUCUCUCAAUUCCCCAGGCCUCAGCCCAUUCAUGUGUCUAGUACCACAUGGCAUGGGUGAAGAGCGUUCUUGACCACUUGAGGACGAAAUCUGCAAGAAUGCCAACGAUUCAUUCAGAGAGAGGAACUUUCAACAGGGUUUCUACACCACAAGCCACGCCCAACCAGCCCGGAUCAUGGGCACACACGUGUGUACCCGGUGUGCUCGGAGGAUGCAGGUGACACUAUUCCUGCCCCCCGUUGACAGACGAGGGAAAUCAGGCACAGACAGAGGCCGACUAGUUGCCCAGGACCAGCGUGUGGCGAUGCUGGAACUCCAACACGAAACAGACAAAGGCAAACAGCCCGCCCCGGUGUGACGAGACGGUGGCCGUGACGCGAAUGUAAACCAGACUGUCUCUCGCAGGCUGACUCCCACGCGCCCACCCCUGGCGUGGUUUGUAUUUUCACUCUCUGCCGCUCGGGUUUCACACACUCCAUCUUUUGGGUGGGAGUUCUGAACGAUUCCAAGUCCGGCCUGCUGAGCCUGGCACUUCCUCUGCGUUUGCCUAGCUAAGAGCGUCCGUCCACCUCCGUCUACCACAUCGGAAGA